UUAUUCAAAAUUGACUACAUCUAAUGCUAAGUUCAGAGUGGAGAUUUGUCAGUAUAAGAGAGAAGAAUCCCUUUUUGAUUAAGUCAGUGAAAUACAGUAUUUGGGAGAAUGGUUAUAUUUGAAGGCGACUUGUUCAUAUUCUGUUGCCACAGUGACAUUUGUUGAAUCUCAAUCUGCUAUUUUGCAAACUCUGAAAAAUAUGUUCAGAUGCUGUUCAACAGCCUGCAGGGAAAUCCAGUCAUGUGGAAGGGGAUGUUUUCUUCCACUUAGACUUUGCAGAGAAAAUCAGCCUUGAAGUGGAACUGAGCACAUGCUUUUCAGAAGCUGCAUCAUUCUGUAC